GAAAUAACUAGCACAAAAUGCUGUAUUUCAUAACUGAUAGAUUGCUCAGGAAGAUGCAAUGAGACAUACAUUCUUGAUUGAAUAACCUCUUUUUUGAGUGCCAACAAAGUGCAUGUCCUCCAUGAGAAAACACUGCUCAGUGAGGGGACCGGGGCGCUAGGUAUUUUCUUUCUUCUGGCCAUAGGUGGUUCUCCCUGGCUACGAGGCCUCACACGGGUAGAGUUCAACUGUACUUGCAAGUUUCCCCGCAAAAAGCUCUUGUGAAGUGUCUCUCUGGUAUUGGGAGAACUUCAAGCCCCUCUGCUUGAGAAUAAGCAUUCGCAACACUAAGACUUCAAAUUGUUUGAAUACAGGAUAAAUGGGAUCAUAUUCACAAGACUUACGGCUCUGGAUUCCUAUUGACCCGCUUCAUCAGUGCAACAGUGUCACCGUUCUCGUCCUAUGAGAAGGCAAAAGAGGUUGAAGAGUUUUUUGCUAGCCGUACCAAGCCGUACAUUGCAAGGACGUUGAAGCAAAGCAUCGAGAAGGUUCACAUUAAUGCAAACUGGGUGCAGAGCAUUCAAAACGAGAAAAAUCUUUCCGAGGCUGUGACAGAGCUUGCAUACCGGAAAUACUGAAGCUCUUGUUGAACCUAGUACCCGCCCUUUUAGAGAGUUUCUAGUUGCUCAUUAAUAAGUUAUACUUUUUAAAAUGGUUGUCUCAGAAAAUAAUGAAAAAGGAGGGAGUACUCUGAUGAUCCCCUCUUUGAUCAAACUAGAGGCAAUAGGUUUGCAUACUUAUAAAUCAUGAUGUUUGAUUUUGAACUGUUUUUCUUGCUGUGCUCCAGAUGAACCAGGUGUAAUAUGAGAUAUCUCUUUAAUGAAAUAGAUGUUAACAUUUCUGUUGGGAACACAA